ensembl:lncRNA
GGGGUGCCCGUGUUUGCAGCUGGGGGGGUGUUGUCCCCCCCCCCCCGGUGUCCCCGUGGCCCCCGGUGCCAGCCGCUCUUGCAGGCAGCACCGCGCUGCACCUGGCCACCAUCGGCUGCCAGCCCCAGUGCGUCAAGGUCCUGCUGCAGGUACCGGCCCCAUGGGGACGGGGACGGGAUGGGGACGGGAUGGGGCUGGAGAGGGAGGUGGGGAAUGGGGAGGGGAUGGGAUGGGAUGGGAUGGGAUGGGAUGGGAUGGGAUGGGAUGGGAUGGGAUGGGAUGGGAUGGGAUGGGAAGGGAAGGGAAUAAACACGAGACCAAGAGUGGGAUGAGGAUGAGGAUGAGGAUGAGGAUGAGGAUGGGGAUGGGGAUGGGGACGGGGACGGGGACAGGGACAGGGACAGGGACAAGGACAGGGACAGGGAGUGGGAUCGGGAUAUGUGUAGGGACAGGGAUGGGGGUGAGAAAUGGGAUAAGAACGAGGACGGAACAGAAAUGGGGCUGAUGAUGAGGACAAGAAGAAGGAUGGGGAUGGGGACAAGGCUGGGAACGGGGCCGGGGGCGCAGGGCAGGACCCCCAGGCCCCUUCCCGUGCCCCUGUCCCCUGCAGUACGGUGCCGACACGCGCCACGUGGACGGGCAGCACCGCACCCCCCUGCACUGGGCCGGUGAGUGCCAGGGGGGCCCCACCAUGGGCUGGGAUGGGUGGGGGGCUUCACCCCUCGCCCACCCCCAUAAGGGGGAGCCGACCCCGUGCUGAUGCUCCCCCCCUGCAGCCUCCUCGGGCUGCGCCUCCAGCGUGCUGCUGCUCUGCGCACACGGGGCCCCGCUGGACGUCGCCGACGCCGUGAGCGGGGACCUGGGGGGGUGACGGGGACCUGGGGGGGGUUACGGGGACCUGGGGGGGGUGGCAGGAGCUGACGGAAGCUCUGUGACCCCCCCCCAGCACGGCCAGACACCCCUGAUGCUGGCGGCACGGGGGAACCACGCCGCCGUCUGCGCCCAGCUCCUGCAGAGCGGCGCCGACCCCGACCUCGCCGACAGGGACGAGAAGUGAGCGGCCGCGGGGGGGCACGGGGAGGGGGCGCGCGUCCUCGUGCCACCGCGCCCCUCGUGCCACCACCCCGCUGUCCCCGUCCCCGUCCCGCAGGACAGCCCUGGACCUGGCCCACGAGCACGGCGGCACGGAGGCGGCCGCGCAGCUCCGGCACCACGGGGGCCACGGCCGCGCGCAGCGAGAGAACGGAUCUGGUGGCGCUGGGGACCCUGAGCUGCAGGGCCCCCUGGGCUGUGGAGAGAGCAGCGAGGAAGAGGAGAAGAAGGAGGAGGAGGAGGAGGAAGAUAAAAAGGAGGAAGAGGAGGAAGAGGAGCAGCGGGGUGAGCGUGGCACCGGCCUCCUCCAGCGGGUGCAGGACCUGGCACGGCCCCCACCCGGUGCCAGCAGCGAGGCCGAGGAUGAGGAUGAUGAUGAAGGCUCCGGCCUCGCUCCUCCAGCCGAGCACGGGCAGGAGCUGGCGAGGAGGAGGAGGAGGAGGAGGAGGAGGAAGGCUGAGGAAGAGCCCACGGGGCCGGGGGGGACCCGCGCCCCCCAGGAGGGAGCGGGACGGGGCGCGGAGGUGCAGGAGCUGAAGGAGCGCAACGGGAGCCUGGCGGGCGAGCUGGCCCGGCUGCGCCUCGAGAGGGGGAGGCUGCGGGAGGAGCUGCGGGCGCUGCGGGUGCGGGACCCCCAGCUGGGGGCGGCGGGGGAAGGGGGCAGCCGGGUGGGCGCCCUGUGCCGGGCGCUGGAGGCCAAGCGGGAGGAGGCAGCGAGGCUGCGGCGGAGGCUGGCGGGGCAGCGGAGGGAGCUGGAGGCGCUGCGGGACCGCCUGGGCAGGGGGGUGGGGGAGGACGAGGCCGGCGGCCCCCUCCCCGCCGCCUGCGUCCUGCGGGAGCUGCAGCGGCGGCUGGAGGCCCUGGCGAGGUCCCAGCACGAGGCCCUGCAGCUGGUGGCCGAGAUGGAGGCCGAGGAGGCGGCGGGGAGAGGAGGCCGCCCCGGCGAGGAGGACGGGGACGUCGGAGAGGGGCU